ensembl:lncRNA
AAACAGUGCUGUUUACAUCACCUGCUGUAUAGUUUUACAGUUCAGCAUGGCGCAGCCUGGACACCAUGCAGUGAUGCAGCUGCUGCACUUACUCUCAUUCAAGCAGAUUCAAAGGUUCUGAGGAUGUUCAGAGGCAUGUUGAAUUUGAUGUUUACAUUACCCAGUAAUACUGAGCCAAAGGAACCGAAAAGUGCUGACUCCACGUCACACAUAUUGAUCAUGUUGUUUCCUCCUUGUCCUCGCUGCUUCCUGAAUCCCAGCAUCAUGCCUUUCAUCUUCCCCUGUCACCAUAUUAAGGGGCUCUUCUUUCCUGGCAAUGGCCGCAUUUACUUCCACUCUCGUCACUUGAAACCAUAUCACAAGAAAUAUGUGGAUGGAUCUACAUCUCUACAUAAAAAUGUAUUUUUUUUUUCAUAACACGACUAUAUUUUUAUCCAAAACUGUCAGAUUUAUGUUUGUGAUUUCUGCAUCCAGGUAUGUGUUUUGUUUUGUUUUUUUCUCAAAAACUGGACUGUUGCUGAAGUGCAGAACUAUUUAGACUUUUUUCUUUUUCAGUGAGAACUGUGGCGGCUGUUGUGUCAUUCUCAGACCGAUAAACAUGAGGCUCUGCCACAGAUAUGUGUGAUCACUGAGAACUGCCGUAGGUGUUAGCAUGCACUGCUGAGAACAACAGUGGAGGAAGUGCCCAUUUUCACCACCAGUAGCCUGCCUGUGACCAAGUAUAGGAUUCACUUGCACAUAAUGUGCAUUGUGGGGUUAAAGUGCUGGCACCCUCAGCUGAUCUGCUGCUCGUCUAAAGUGCCGACCGUCUACACUGCCUGGGGGAAGUGAGCCCGUGAGGGCUCUGACCAGCAGCCCGAGGCAUGCGAUGAUGACAGAUCAAGCCAGCUCACGGAGAAGGGCCGGAGCAUCUGAGGACACAAAAUGGCUGGGCCAGGAUACAUGUCUGACAUGGAUGCUGUGGAGCCAAAUAAACCCCUUGCAGCAGAAUGGCUUGAUCCAGUGCUGGUGCCAGACUUGGAAAUAGCCCAAGCCACAGGACAAGGAUCAACUCUCCAUGAGCAUUAACCUAACACCCACACACUUUACUACCAGUUACUUCACAUGAAUCAACACCUAAUAAGCUUAUGACACAUAUCUAAGGUGCUGGCGGGCUCUGGAUAUGCUAGUUCGGCGGUGCAGAUAGAAAACCUGGCACAAAAACAUCUGGAGUCGACAAUGAACUCUGCACAUACCUUUGGGUUUUAUGGUUCAAGUCAAAUUAUUUAGUGGUCUGUGCCUAAUCCUUGCCAAACAGGGGGUACCAAAUGUAAAAACCCUCAGACAAGGAAUGGACCAGAAUAUUUAGGGAAUGUUUGUUGCAAAAAAAAAAUUCUUGCUGUUUUAGAGCCAAAGCUAUACUCGCAGGGGAUUUAGAAAACAGAACAGCAGUGCACAAUAUACUGUGGCUCGAGCACUGUUAGAUCAAUGCAGAGAUAAUUGGAAGGCUUGUGAGGCAGCAAAGUACGUGAUACAAUCUGAUGAACAGAGAUGGCUAUGCAACAUGUCCAUGUACUUUGUAAGAUAGGCCUAUAUAUAUGUGUGUGUGUGUGCCUGUAUUAUCAUUUCAAGGUAGCACAAACAAGUAAUAUAUAAAAUGGUAAGACUCAUGUACAAUAUAUCCUAAAGCGGUAUUAUUUUUUACAAUAAAACACAGGCCUUGUAAAAUGGCAAAAAUUACACUCUACGACUUGAACAGGAGCUUACAAAAUAUCAUAUUCAAAGCCGCACUGAGAUCGACAUUCUUUUUGCAAUUGGCACAGAUCUACCGCUUGUUUUUACAAUUAGUUGGAAAAGGAUACUUGGGACCGGAUAGGUCGCCUUUCUUUUUCCCUCUCCCCUCCACAUCUAAGACCUUUAUGGUGUUUACAUUACAGACACACCUCUGACCUUCGCUCAGGCCCCCCACCGCUGGCCCUAAUACCACACACACACCACCAUUUUAACUACAUCCCAGAGAUUAUUUACGCACAAAGCCGGUUUCCGAAGAAACGUCACUCAAAUUAAGACAAAAUAAACAAAUGAAUGCAAAAUAAAUAAAUGCACCAGAGCACAAGAUACUGACCGUAUUUUGCUUGUGAAAGCGUGUAGUGGAGGUGUGUAAUCGUCUGGGGUUUUUUUCGGUU